GUUUAUAGCAGGGUUGGAACAUAUAAUACAAUAAAGUAUAAAACACAUAUUAUACAUAUAAAUCGUACAGUAUGAAACUAUUAGUUGUAUACGCUUCAUACUGUAUACUUUUUUUUUUUUGGCUGCAGUUGAACAGAAAUUAUAAAUAUAAAUAUAAUAUAAAAUAAGACAAAAUAAUUAACAACUCAAAAAUGGCCUUUUACCAGUGAUGGGCAAUACCAAGUAAAAACUAUCUAUUUACUCGGUUGUUUUUAAACAAUGGAUGGUCAAAAACACUCGGUUGUUUAGUAAUCCAGUCGAUACCAAUACUACCGAUGGAAAACUAUCGGACUAUAGAGUAGUUUAUUCUAAUGAUAAUAUCUAUUUAGUUGAAAAAGUACUUGGUUGUUUUUAAAUUAUCGAGUCAAAAUCGGUCGAUGCUACUAUUGAAUGAAAACUAUCAACUAAUUCAUUCGAUAGUUUUCAAAACAAUCAAUGGAUAAAACUAUCUAUUUAAUCGAUUAAUCACUUGAUUGUUGUUUAAAUCAAAACUAGUCGGUUCCGCCCAUCAUAACCUUUUAUGUUCCAAGUAGCAAUCUUUAUCUCCGCAAACAGUUUUCUAUGUCCUAACCAUUGAACUAUAUACUAUGAUAGGCAUACAAUGCAUAUUUGCCAUAUAAUGAAAGUGAGUCACCAUUUUGAUUCCGUUUCAAUUAUUUCCGAUAUCAUCGUACUGAGUCAAACUUCAUUUAGUGGUUUUUGAUAAUAGUUUCUAACUUCAUACACAUAGUGUAAAGUAGUUAUUGGUGGCAAAUCGAAAAUUUGGAGGUUAACAAU